UACGGAGGAUCCAAGCGUUAUCCGGAAUUACUGGGCGUAAAGAGUUGCGUAGGUGGCAGGGUAAGUAGAUAGUGAAAGCGUGUGGCUCAACCAUACAUCCAUUAUCUAAACUGCUCAGCUAGAGGAUGAGAGAGGUUAUUGGAAUUCCCAGUGUAGGAGUGAAAUCCGUAGAUAUUGGGAGGAACACCGAUGGCGUAGGCAGAUAACUGGCUCAUUCCUGACACUAAGGCACGAAAGCGUGGGGAGCAAACGGG
rnacentral:rRNA from 1 species